CGAAAUUUUUAGAAUGAUGUUGGAAGCCCCCUGCUUAGCGAUCGUUAUGAGCAUCAGUCCCCUCGAUAUAUAUAUGGACUACUCUCCUCAGGUUACACAGAUAAAUCGGGAAUACCAUUUUAUGAAUAUCCCAGACUAUCGACUCUGAAUAAAUGGAUCAACAUGCAAUUGAACAAGUCCCAUGAAGUACCAAUGAGCAGUGGAAGCGUAUUGAAGCUGGGAGGCAUUCACCUGAUGGGAAUAUACAUUCUUGACCAGAUUGCAUAAAGUAUUAUCAAGAUUAAGCUACCAAAUCCCGGGACGCUUCGUAACGAAUCGGGUCAAAUGGCGUUGUUCUUUAAUUUACUCAGGACCUUCAUAAAGCUGUAUCGAAUAAUAUCCAAUACGUACUUAUAUUCCGUUAUGAGGAGAGGUAGAAUUUGGGAAUACUGCAGUUGACAGAGGUAAAGGAAGCUAAAGGAUAUAUCUUGACAAAAGGGCUUAUUAUGAUUAUACAAAGCGUUGAGUAUCGACUGAGAAUCAAUUAAAAUGGUGGUGAAAGAAUUUUUGCUUUGAAAGGAGUUGUUCCUUUUCGGACUUGAUGUUUCAUAUAUUCCUUUUUACGACUUUUAUUCUAGAUUUUACAUAUAUAUUUUCAAUAAAAAAAUUAACUUACUUUUAAAUAGAUUUA